rnacentral:rRNA from 1 species
UACGUAGGGUGCAGGCGUUAAUCGGAAUUACUGGGCGUAAAGCGCGUGUAGGCGGCAGCGCAAGUCGGGCGUGAAAUCCCACGGCUCAACCGUGGAAGUGCACUCGAAACUGCGCAGCUAGAGUCCUGGAGAGGAAGGUGGAAUGCUUGGUGUAGAGGUGAAAUUCGUAGAUAUCAAGCGGAACACCGGUGGCGAAGGCGGCCUUCUGGACAGUGACUGACGCUGAGACGCGAAAGCGUGGGGAGCAAACAGG